UCAUGUCCUACCCUGUAAGCACUUACCCGGGAGGCAUUUAUCUUGCCGAUGGCCCAUAAAACUCUGUUUAUUAUACCGUAUUCUGAGUGGUUAAUCAGAUCAAGUUAAAAACUUUCAACAACGGAUCUCUUGGUUCUGGCAUCGAUGAAGAACGCAGCGAAAUGCGAUAAGUAAUGUGAAUUGCAGAAUUCAGUGAAUCAUCGAAUCUUUGAACGCACAUUGCGCCCAUUAGUAUUCUAGUGGGCAUGCCUGUUCGAGCGUCAUUUCAACCCUUAAGCCUUGUUGCUUAGUGUUGGGGGCCUAUAGAUGCUGUCUAUAGCCUCUUAAAGUUAGUGGCGGAGUUGGCUCACACUCUAGACGUAGUAAAUCAUUUAUCUCGCCUAUAGAUGAGUCGGCUUCUUGCCGUAAAACCCCUAUAAUCUUGUCAAGGUUGACCUCGGAUCAGGUAGGAAUACCCGCUGAACUUAAGCAUAUCAAUAAGCGGAGGA
rnacentral:rRNA from 1 species